GCUUAGUUAAGUCUGCUGUCAAAGCCUGCAGCUCAACUGUGGAGUGGCAGUGGAAACUGAUUGACUAGAGUGCGAUAGGGGUAGAGGGAAUUCCCAGUGUAGCGGUGAAAUGCGUAGAUAUUGGGAAGAACACCAGUGGCGAAGGCGCUCUACUGGGUCGCAACUGACGCUGAGGGACGAAAGCUAGGGGAGCGAAAGGGAUUAGAUACCCCUGUAGUCAAGC
rnacentral:rRNA from 1 species